GACGAACGCUGGCGGCGUGCCUAAUACAUGCAAGUUGAGCGCUGAAGGUUGGUACUUGUACCAACUGGAUGAGCAGCGAACGGGUGAGUAACGCGUGGGGAAUCUGCCUUUGAGCGGGGGACAACACUUGGAAACGAAUGCUAAUACCGCAUAAAAACUUUAAACACAAGUUUUAAGUUUGAAAGAUGCAAUUGCAUCACUCAAAGAUGAUCCCGCGUUGUAUUAGCUAGUUGGUGAGGUAAAGGCUCACCAAGGCGAUGAUACAUAGCCGACCUGAGAGGGUGAUCGGCCACAUUGGGACUGAGACACGGCCCAAACUCCUACGGGAGGCAGCAGUAGGGAAUCUUAGGCAAUGGACGAAAGUCUGACCGAGCAACGCCGCGUGAGUGAAGAAGGUUUUCGGAUCGUAAAACUCUGUUGGUAGAGAAGAACGUUGGUGAGAGUGGAAAGCUCAUCAAGUGACGGUAACUACCCAGAAAGGGACGGCUAACUACGUG
rnacentral:rRNA from 1 species